AACGAACGCUGGCGGCAUGCCUAACACAUGCAAGUCGAACGAUGCCUUCGGGCAUAGUGGCGCACGGGUGCGUAACGCGUGGGAAUCUGCCCUUGGCUUCGGAAUAACAGUUAGAAAUGACUGCUAAUACCGGAUGAUGUCCCCCUGAGAGAUCUUGGGGACCAAAGAUUUAUCGGCCAGGGAUGAGCCCGCGUAGGAUUAGGUAGUUGGUGAGGUAAAGGCCUACCAAGCCGACGAUCCUUAGCUGGUCUGAGAGGAUGAUCAGCCACACUGGGACUGAGACACGGCCCAGACUCCUACGGGAGGCAGCAGUGGGGAAUAUUGGACAAUGGGGGGAACCCUGAUCCAGCAAUGCCGCGUGAGUGAUGAAGGCCUUAGGGUUGUAAAGCUCUUUUACCAGGGAUGAUAAUGACAGUACCUGGAGAAUAAGCUCCGGCUAACUCCGUG
rnacentral:rRNA from 1 species